AUGAUAGAGGAAAGCAGAAUUUCUAGUGUAGAGGUGAAAUUCGUAGAUAUUAGAAAGAAUACCAAUUGCGAAGGCAGCUUUCUGGAUCAUUACUGACACUGAGGAACGAAAGCAUGGGUAGCGAAGAGGAUUAGAUACCCUCGUAGUCCAUGCCGUAAACGAUGUGUGUUAGACGUUGGAAAUUUAUUUUCAGUGUCGCAGCGAAAGCGAUAAACACACCGCCUGGGGAGUACGACCGCAAGGUUAAAACUCAAAUGAAUUGACGGGGACCCGCACAAGUAGUGGAGCAUGUGAUUUAAUUCGAAGAUACGCGCAGAACCUUACCAACACUUGACAUGUUCGUCGCGACUCUAAGAGAUUAGAGUUUUCGGUUCGGCCGGACGAAACACAGGUGCUGCAUGGCUGUCGUCAGCUCGUGUCGUGAGAUGUUGGGUUAAGUCCCGCAACGAGCGCAACCCUCACUUUUAGUUGCCAUCAUUAAGUUGGGCACUCUGAAAGAACUGCCAGUGAUAAGCUGGAGGAAGGUGGGGAUGACGUCAAGUCCUCAUGGCCCUUACGUGUUGGGCUACACACGUGCUACAAUGGUAUCUACAACAGGAAGCAAAACGGCAACGUUAAGCAAAUCCCGAAAAGAUACCUCAGUUCGGAUUGCACUCUGCAACUCGAGUGCAUGAAGCUGGAAUUACUAGUAAUCGUGGAUCAGCGUGCCACGGUGAAUGCGUUCCCGGGUCUUGUACACACCGCCCGUCACACCAUGGGAGUUGGUUCUACCUUAAGGCAAGGUUUCAAACCCUUGACCACGGUAUAGUCAGCGACUGGGGUGAAGUCGUAACAAGGUAGCCGUA
rnacentral:rRNA from 1 species